GAGCCCCACAGACUGGUUGGCGAGACAGGGGCCCGGGUCAGUUAUCAGGCAAAGAGAAGCCAGACAGACGCUAGGCAGAUGGGGGAGUUAGGAAGGCAUAGAGAGACCGAGCUGGCCGCCCUCCUUCCCUUCAUCUUCACACACAACCUGGCCCCCAACCAAGCGGCUCCAGAGUCGUCUUCUCGUCUCCCUCUCCCCAGGGAUGGAGAAGUAGGAUCAGAUCAUAAUGAGCACCAUAUCUAGAACUGGCACUGCCGGAGGGGCAAAGAAGUAGGGGUGGACACCACUUCUGGGGACUGGUACAGGUGUUCGUUUCUUCAUCAAAUCCGAGGUUCUUAGAGCUAGAUCCGAAGUCCUCUCUCCAGGCUAUGUUCAAGAAGGUGGCUGUUCAUUUUUAGAUUUGUAAGCCUCCUUCUCCUCGGACAAAGAUCCGGAACCUCUCGAAGGAAAACUAAUCUUCCUCACAGCCAGAAACGCUCUUUAGAUCUAACCCAACUCCCUCUUGCUGCCAUUUUAAAAAUCAAUCGAGACAGCCCAUCGUUUCCUCCUGCUCUUUGCUCCGAGGACAGGGAUAGCAGCUCAUUAUAAUAAAGACCUUUCCUAGUUAUUCAGGGAAACCCAUGGCUCUCCCUUCUCUAGGUUCAACAUCGCUUACUGCUCUCCCUGGACCUAUUUUCCUGCCUUUUAGACAACAACAACAUCUUUAAAGGUCUACAAAGUACUACAAAUACAUUAUCUCAUUAAA